rnacentral:rRNA from 1 species
UACGUAGGGUCCGAGCGUUGUCCGGAAUUACUGGGCGUAAAGAGCUCGUAGGCGGUUUGUCGCGUUGUUCGUGAAAACUCACAGCUCAACUGUGGGCGUGCGGGCGAUACGGGCAGACUGGAGUACUGCAGGGGAGAGUGGAAUUCCUGGUGUAGCGGUGGAAUGCGCAGAUAUCAGGAAGAACACCAAUGGCGAAAGCAGCGCUCUGGGACGGUACUGACGCUGAGACGCGAAAGCGUGGGGAGCGAACAGG